AGCAGAACCAAUGUCCUUAAGUUGGAAUGCUGGAGAAAAAGAAGGCAUAAAGGACAGGAGGGACAGGAGAGGCCAUGGAGCUCUGAAGCCAGAGAAGGGAAAGGAGCCUGGAGUGCACAAGGCCACUGAUUCCAGGACUGCUCUGGAUGGGAAUGCAGAAGCCCAAGGCACAUAGUUGGAAGUUGGCUAACUAAGAUAUCAUCCUUGGUUAUGGGACUGAAAUGUGCAUAAAAGGCGAGGCAUGCUUCAGGGCGCAGAGGCUGAGAACACUCCCUGCUUUCCCACGAUGGAAGAGGUGCCCAUGGGACUCAGAUCUGACCGACAUGAACUGCGAGAAGAUUGCUAGGGAAGGUUUUCCCUGGAUGAAAAGGAGGCAGGAGCCGUGCUGAAGAAGAGUCCUCGCCUGCCACUUGUUCUUCCUGUCUUUGGAAGCAGCUGUGUGACCGUCUGAUUCCCACAGCUGCGACAGCCAGCUUGACCACAGUGGUGGCCACAGGGGAUGCCGCUGAGAACAAAAAUUUGGCCUCAGAAUGGCAAGUAAAAGGAAGGAAAAAGCCUGCACCUUCAAAGAUACUUUGUGCAUCUCCUUGCCGUUUAUGGGAAGCAAUGAGAUCCUAUUUGUUUGGGGGACUUCUGCUUGUGAAUUUUCUUUCUUGAAGCCACAAGAAAGAUGCACUAUAAGGUGGAGAAGGAGAACGGGAACAAUUCUUUCAAGAAGCUGUUGUGGCUUUUGUCUAGAUGUCCCCCCAAAGCCCCAUGUGGCCGUAGGUGGGACUUCUCGGAGGUGGCUGGGCAGAGUGCGAGAUGCUGGGAACAAGGAUGUCGUCCUAGGAUCGAGUCACAGCAUGAUGCUAGGCUUCAGGGGGUGAGUGCUUCCAGCCCUAAGGGUGGGUAGCCUGAAUAAAUUCUAAGAGACAGGAAGAGGGCUGCUGUUGUUGUUGCUUGCUGCCUUCUGCCUGCCCUGCUUUGCCAUGGACUGUUUCUCCUCUGUGAUACUCCCCUACUAUGCCACUCGGCCUUGGAGACUGACUAUGGACUGAAACCUGUACAAACUGUGAGCAAAAUAAGCCUCCCCUCCUUUA